GGGCGAUUGGCUCAGUGGUAGAGCGCUUCGCUGACACCGAAGAGGUCACUGGUUCGAACCCAGUAUCGCCCACCA
rnacentral:tRNA from 3 species